CAACUUCGGCAGUAUUGGUCUAUUUCGUUUGGAAUAAGUAGUUGCAGCACAUUGGCAAACAAUACUCUUUAAGUUUGACCUCAAAUCAGGUAGGAAUACCCGCUGAACUUAAGCAUAUCAAUAAGCGGAGGAAAAGAAACCAACCGGGAUUGCCUUAGUAACGGCGAGUGAAGCGGCAAAAGCUCAAAUUUGAAAUCUAGUACCUUCGGUGCUCGAGUUGUAAUUUGUAGAGGGAUACUUUGGGGCCGUUCCUUAUCUAUGUUCCUUGGAACAGGACGUCAUAGAGGGUGAGAAUCCCGUAUGAUGAGGAGUGCGGUUCUAUGUAAAGUUCCUUCGAAGAGUCGAGUUGUUUGGGAAUGCAGCUCUAAGUGGGUGGUAAAUUCCAUCUAAAGCUAAAUAUUGGCGAGAGACCGAUAGCGAACAAGUACAGUGAUGGAAAGAUGAAAAGAACUUUGAAAAGAGAGUGAAAAAGUACGUGAAAUUGUUGAAAGGGAAGGGCAUUUGAUCAGACAUGGUGUUUUGCGCCCUCCGCUCCUUGUGGGUGGGGGAAUCUCGCAGCUCACUGGGCCAACAUCAGUUUUGGCGGCAGGAUAAAUCUAUAGGAAUGUGGCUUGCUUCGGGAAGUGUUAUAGCCUAUGGGAAUACUGCCAGCUGGGAUUGAGGACUGCGACUUUUGUCAAGGAUGUUGGCAUAAUGGUUAUAUGCCGCCCGUCUUGAAACACGGACCAAGGAGUCUAACGUCUAUGCGAGUGUUUGGGUGUAAAACCCGUACGCGUAAUGAAAGUGAACGUAGGUU
rnacentral:rRNA from 1 species